rnacentral:rRNA from 1 species
AACGAACGCUGGCGGCAUGCCUAACACAUGCAAGUCGAACGAAGCCUUCGGGCUUAGUGGCGCACGGGUGCGUAACGCGUGGGAAUCUGCCCUUAGGUACGGAAUAACUCAGGGAAACUUGUGCUAAUACCGUUUGAUGUCGAGAGACCAAAGAUUUAUCGCCUAGGGAUGAGCCCCGCGUAGGAUUAGCUAGUUGGUGGGGUAAAGGCCUACCAAGGCGACGAUCCUUAGCUGGUCUGAGAGGAUGAUCAGCCACACUGGGACUGAGACACGGCCCAGACUCCUACGGGAGGCAGCAGUGGGGAAUAUUGGACAAUGGGCGAAGACGUCGAUCCAGCAA